CAGGAUGUGCACCUGCAUUUCUGGGCAACUUCUCCUUUGGCAGAUGCGCGAGAAUGUGCCACUGCUGCCAAAGGAAAUUUGCCCCGGAAUUCAUCUGCACAAGCA
rnacentral:pre_miRNA from 1 species